AGCGAACGCUGGCGGCAGGCUUAACACAUGCAAGUCGAGCGGGCACUUUCGGGUGUCAGUGGUGGAAGGGUGAGUAACGCGUGGGAACGUGCCCUUUGGUUCGGAAUCACUCAGGGAAACUUGAGUUCAUACCGGCUACGCUCUUUUGGGGAAAGGCUUGCUGCCGGAGGAUUGGCUAGUGUCUGAUUAGCUUGUUGUUGAGGUUACGGGUCACCACGGCGACGUACCGUAGCUGGGCUGAGAGGCAGAGCAGCCACACUGGGACUAAGACGCGGCCCAGAAUCCUACGGGAUGGAGCAGUGGGGGAUGGUGGACAGUGGGCGCAAGGCUGAUCCAGCCAGGCCGGGUGAGUGAUGAAGGCCUGAGGGUUGUAAAGCGCUUGUAUCCGGGACGAUAAUGACGGUACCGAAGGAAUAAGCCCCGGCUAACUUCGUG
rnacentral:rRNA from 1 species